UCCGGAGGGGGCAAGCGUUGUUCGGAAUUACUGGGCGUAAAGGGCGCGCAGGCGGCUGCUCAAGUCAGGCGUGAAAGGCCUGGGCUCAACCCGGGAAUUGCGCUUGAGACUGGGCUGGCUUGAGUGCGGGAGAGGAUGGUGGAAUUCCCAGUGUAGAGGUGAAAUUCGUAGAUAUUGGGAAGAACACCGGUGGCGAAGGCGGCGAGCUGGUCCAUUACUGACGCUGAGGCGCGACAGCGUGGGGAGCAAACAGG
rnacentral:rRNA from 1 species